rnacentral:rRNA from 1 species
GAUGAACGCUGGCGGCGUGCCUAACACAUGCAAGUCGAACGGAAAGGCCCUGCUCUUGCGGGGCUCUCGUUUGGCGAACGGGGGAGUAACACGUGUGUAACCCGUCCCUGUCUUUGGGGUAACAUCAGGAAACUGGGGCUCUUACCCGGGAGGAGCUCCUGCUGCAUGGUGGUGGGUGGAAAGUUUCGGCUGUUGGGGAUGGUCUCGCGGCUUCCCAGCUUGUUGGUGGGGUUGUGGCUUUCCCAGGCUUGCACGGGUAGCCGGCCUGAGAGGGUGACCGGCCACAUUGGGACUGAGAUACGGCCCAGACUCCUACGGGAGGCAGCAGUGGGGAAUAUUGCACAAUGGGCGGAAGCCUGAUGCAGCAACGCCGCGUGCGGGAUGACGGCCUUCGGGUUGUAAACCGCUUUCGCCUGUGACGAAGCGUGAGUGACGGUAAUGGGUAAAGAAGCACCGGCUAACUACGUG